rnacentral:rRNA from 1 species
ACGGACACGACGCAACUUUCCUUCGAGUGGGGAAUAGCCCAGGGAAACUUGGAUUAAUACCCCGUAAUAUUAUGAAGUGGCAUCACUUUAUAACUAUAGUUACGACGCUUGAAGAUGGGCGUGCGGCUGAUUAGGUAGUUGGUGCGGGUAACGGCCCACCAAGCCAGCGAUCAGUAACUGGUGUGAGAGCACGACCAGUCACACGGGCACUGAGACACGGGCCCG